rnacentral:rRNA from 1 species
GACGAACCGUGCGAACGUUAUUCGGAAUCACUGGGCUUAAAGCGCGUGUAGGCGGAUGGGAACGUCGGUAGUUGAAAGCCCCCGGCUCAACCGGGGAGUGGUGCCGAAACGACCCGUCUGGAGGGACGUAGGGGGACCUGGAACUUCCGGUGGAGCGGUGAAAUGCGUUGAGAUCGGAAGGAACGCCCGUGGCGAAAGCGAGGUCCUGGACGUCUACUGACGCUGAGA